rnacentral:lncRNA from 1 species
AUUUCCACGAAACUUUGACCAAUUGUGCGUCAUCUAAACUGAUGUAAUGAAACAUUGAAAAAUAAAAGAGUGUAAUUGAUAUUUUAACUAUUCUUUUAAGUUACAUUGGACUCCUGGUUUCUUACAUUAUAUGGUACUCGUACAAAUCCUUUAGCAAGUAUGUAUAUUAGAAUACGUUAGUUACGACUACACGCAGUUCAUUGCCUUGCUGAAAAAAGAAACACGAGUAUGAUAACUUAUCUCUAGCCAAUAUGAAAUAAUGUGCAAUUGUAUAGAACACUGAAAAGAUGUAUAUCGUUUGUCCGUCUAUUGAGUUGAUUUUAGAAAUGUUCAAAAACAUUUUCAACUUUUAGGUCUUUAUCUAAAAAAAAUACACCAUUUUAAGAUUAACAUUGAUUAAGUGGGUGUUCAGAAAAAUUUACAAGACUUUAACGUAAAAUGCAAAUCAUUAUCAAUGGACAUCACCGUAUGAAUAUUUGCAUCGAUUGACUACAGUUUCUACAUGUUUGAAGUUAAAUUUCAUUUAACUAAAAAAUAUGAAAAUAGAACUUUAUAAAUUGCGUGCAUCCGAAGCGCACUUCUGGAUUUACCCUCACCAGGAACGCUGACAGCCGAAUAUUCGAAAGAAAGGAUGUAUAAGAACCGAAGUAGUUGGAAAGGUAUAUGACACAGAAGGACCUUAAAAUGAUAACCAAAUCCAUCAUAGGUAAACUUUGCAUGAGGGAAUUGAAACCUUAGUUUCUUAAUAAUUUCUAAAUUUAUAAACGGAAAAUUUAAGAAAGGUUUGUUAGAAUUGAUGACCUUACCGUCGUGCUGACUACUGAGCUGAUACCCUCUGGGACUGAUAGCGGAUACUUUUUUUCAUGAAACUUUGGUGAAUUGUUUAGAUAUAUUGACGUAAACUCCCUUAAGUUUUUUUCUUUUUUCUGAUAUGACAUUGAGGAGACAUGGAACUUUAUCCGUUGAAAAAUCGAAGGGCGUAUCAUGCGCUCAUGGCGCAGCUCUUUAUUUUAAUUAAUGUAUGCAUGAUUUGAAAAGAUAACUACAUGCUAUAUAUAAAUAUAUAUAUAUAUAUAUAUAAUGAGAAGUUGGGAAUACGUGAACAGAGACAGCAACCCAAGGCAUAAAUUAUAUGCAUAUUCAGAUACUAAAGUAUUCAUGCCCGAAUGUACCUUGCCUGUAAUUGGCCGACAUGAUAGGCAAGGUUGAGUAUGCGCCCGUAAGGCUUCCGUAAGCUUUAGAAAGCUCGCUUUACCUCAUAAAAAAAUACUUGCAUUUUACAUACAUCACAUAAUAAAUAGUGUGUCAUAUAUACUAUGCUUAAACCUUAUCCUUAGUAUUGCAUCACUAAUGAUAAUGAUAAAAUGGUACCUUGCUUUAGAUUUUGAUCAGUGUUCGAGUACACCUUGUGAAAACAACGGAAAGUGCUUCAAAGUGUUUUACAACUACAGUUGUAAUUGCACUGCAGACUACACAGGUGCAAACUGUGAAUUAAAGAAAAGUCAACCAAAUUGAAAAUGCCUUGGAGAUUCGAAUGUGACAGACUGUCAAAUAGACGAAAUUAAGCACAAUAAUUCUACUGAAUAUUAUAAAGUACACACUUUGAAGUGGAAUCAAACUCAACUCAAGCAACUGCACUUACAAUUUUUGUAGCAAAGUUUGUGACUCAGAAAUAAAUCAGAGUAACUACAGUAACGACAAUAACGAUACAACUCUAGAUGGAGUGAAUACAAUUAACUCCACUAACUGUACAAACAAUUCGACUGACAAAGAUCCAAAAUGCAUGCAUAAUAACUACACCGAUAUUCACAAUAUCACAGAAUAUAAUCAAGGAGGUUGCAAUUCUAGUAAUUGUACCGGAAGUUCUGACGAUAUAGACUGUUCUUCUUUACAAACGAACAAAACUAAUUGUACCGGAAUUUCUGACAAUAUAGACUGUUCUUCUUUAAAAACAAACAAGACUAAUUGUACUUCAAUGUCAAACGAGAAAGACUGUGAUAUAAAAUUAGAUAAAACUAACUGUUCACAAAAUCUCAGUCAGUUUGAGACUACAAAAGGAACAAACGUAAGAAUUAGUGGACCACCCGUUUUUUGGUGGAGUUGUGUUGCUCAAUUUUUGUCUGUUCUGUGUUUUGUAUUCUGUUGUUUGUUUGUAUUUUGAUCAUGCCAUUGGUAUCAUUUAGGUUUUUUUAUUGUCCACUUGGU